ACUCCUCCCCUUUGGAGGACCAGCCACAAGACACCAUCUUGGAAGCAGGGAGAGUAGCUCUUACCAGCCAGUGCCUUGAUCUUAGACUCCCCAACGUUUGGAACUGUACAGCUAAAAAAUUCUAAAGCAAAACAUCAUCAUUGUGUUGAUUGACCGUUCCAAGUAGAUGAGCGGCGGGUUUCAGAAGGAAGCUUUUUCGAAUUAGCCUGCACCCAUGAGGGAACAAAAAUCUCCAAAGACUAGUUAAUGGGCCUGAGAAAGAAAUCUACAUUUCUGGAGGAAAACUGAGGCAGAAGAUGAAGAAUCACUCUGUUCAGGAACACAGACACAUCUGGUGGCAAUAUCCACAGCUGAGAAACACUAGUUCUGUCUUCCUUUCUUAAAAACACGUUUUUCUCCUAUCAA